UACGGGGGGAGCAAGCGUUGUUCGGAUUUACUGGGCGUAAAGGGCGCGUAGGCGGCCUCUGCAAGUCGACUGUGAAAUCUCCGGGCUUAACCCGGAAAGGUCAGCCGAUACUGCAGGGCUAGAGUGCAGAAGGGGCAACUGGAAUUCUCGGUGUAGCGGUGAAAUGCGUAGAUAUCGAGAGGAACACCUGCGGCGAAGGCGGGUUGCUGGGCUGACACUGACGCUGACAGCGCGAAAGCUAGGGGAGCGAACAGG
rnacentral:rRNA from 1 species